AGACGUCUACAUUAGAUACCCCGGUAGUCCCAGCCGUAAACUAUGCGCGUUAGGUGUAUCGGUGACCACGAGUUACCGAGGUGCCGAAGGGAAACCGUGAAACGUGCCGCCUGGGAAGUACGGUCGCAAGGCUGAAACUUAAAGGAAUUGGCGGGGGAGCACAACAACGGGUGGAGCCUGCGGUUUAAUUGGACUCAACGCCGGACAACUCACCGGGAACGACAGCAAUAUGUAGGCCAGGCUGAGGACCUUGCCUGAAUCGCUG
rnacentral:rRNA from 1 species